CGGGACGGGGUGGAGUAAUGUCUGGGGAAACUGCCUGAUGGAGGGGGAUAACUACUGGAAACGGUAGCUAAUACCGCAUAACGUCGCAAGACCAAAGAGGGGGACCUUAGGGCCUCUUGCCAUCGGAUGUGCCCAGAUGGGAUUAGCUAGUAGGUGGGGUAACGGCUCACCUAGGCGACGAUCCCUAGCUGGUCUGAGAGGAUGACCAGCCACACUGGAACUGAGACACGGUCCAG
rnacentral:rRNA from 1 species